GAGGGUAUACCUCAGUGGUAGAGCACAUGCUUAGCAUGCACGAAGUCCUGGGUUCAAUCCCCAGUACCUCUU
rfam:Camelus ferus unplaced genomic scaffold scaffold319, whole genome shotgun sequence.